rnacentral:lncRNA from 1 species
UCGAUUACAAAAGUAUCAGUCCUAGACUCAGAUGUAUCACCAACAUUAACAAUUUUUGACUGAGAAAGGAUUUUGGGCCUGAAAUUUGUAAGACUAAGAAACCCUAAGUGUUCCUAGGUAAAAAAUUCCAAAAAUCGACUGACUCGUACAUUUGAACUGAUGAGAGAAAGUAUGAAACUCAGAAAAACUCAGAAAAAUCAACAAUCACCGAAGGACAUCCAGAGAAAAAUAGAGAAAAAGAGAAAAACCUAGAUUUGUCGGAGAAGACUGAAACUUUGACGAGAGACGGUGAGGGUAACA